rnacentral:lncRNA from 1 species
AAGAAGCUAGCCUUGAACAAAGGGUAUUACUCAUUUCUUCUUCAUUUAAUCCUUUUCGCGUUCGCUUUGAAUAUAGUCAGCGAAAUGAUUGUGCCGUUUCUCUGCUUGCUUGCAGCGGCUAUCGGUCCUCCAGUUCCUGAACAGCCAGAUGGAAAAUAAACAGCCUGUUUCAAGUGCCUGAAUGAAGUCUUUUUCCAAUAUAGCAUGAAGGAUACUUUGCUUGUUAACUUUCCUGCUGGUUUGAAGUCUAUAUAUAUUGCAACUUUAGUUUAGAGGCAAUCUCAGAUACAUUUUAUCAGUGUGUAAAUGCAUCUUAAGUGAUAAGUUCUGACAGAUCCCCAACUGCUAUACCAGUGGCA